rnacentral:rRNA from 1 species
GAUGAACGCUGGCGGCGUGCCUAAUACAUGCAAGUCGAGCGAACAGACGAGGAUCUUGCGCCUCUCUCGUGUGCGGCGCGGGGGUGUGAAACACGUGUAUAACCCCCCUAUAUGAGUGUGAUAUCUUGGGGAAACCGGAGAGAAUACGCCAGAAGAUAUUGAUCCGCGUGGGGCGCUAGAGAGAGACGGUGUUCUGGUAUCUCAUAGAGGUUUACGCGCCGUGUUAGCUAGUUGUUGAGGUAAAGGCUUACCAAGGCAACGAUGCGUAGCCGAACUGAGAGGGUGAUCGGCCACCCUGGAACUGAGACACGGUCCAGACUCCUACGGGAGGCAGCAGUAGGGAAUCUUCCGCAAUGGGCGAAAGUCUGACGGAGCAAGGCCGCGUGAGUGAUGAAGGUGUUCGGAUCGUAAAACUCUGUUAUUAGGGAAGAACAACUGUGUCAGUAACUGAGCGUGUCUUGACGGUACCUAAUCAGAAAGCCACGGCUAACUACGUG